rnacentral:rRNA from 1 species
CAGUAGCCGCGGGAAUACGGAGGGUGCAAGCGUUAAUCGGAAUUACUGGGCGUAAAGCGCACGCAGGCGGUCUGACAAGUCAGAUGUGAAAUCCCCGGGCUUAACCUGGGAACUGCAUUCGAAACUGUCAGGCUGGAGUCUUGGAGAGGGGGGUAGAAUUCCAGGUGUAGCGGUGAAAUGCGUAGAGAUCUGGAGGAAUACCGGUGGCGAAGGCGGCCCCCUGGACAAAGACUGACGCUCAGGUGCGAAAGCGUGGGGAGCAAACAGGAUUAGAUACCCCAGUAGUCCCUGUCUCUUAUAC